rnacentral:rRNA from 1 species
GUGGGGAAUAUUGGACAAUGGGGGGAACCCUGAUCCAGCCAUGCCGCGUGUGUGAAGAAGGCCUUUUGGUUGUAAAGCACUUUAAGCGAGGAGGAGGCUACCGAGAUUAAUACUCUUGGAUAGUGGACGUUACUCGCAGAAUAAGCACCGGCUAACUCUGUGCCAGCAGCCGCGGUAAUACAGAGGGUGCAAGCGUUAAUCGGAUUUACUGGGCGUAAAGCGCGCGUAGGUGGCCAAUUAAGUCAAAUGUGAAAUCCCCGAGCUUAACUUGGGAAUUGCAUUCGAUACUGGUUGGCUAGAGUAUGGGAGAGGAUGGUAGAAUUGCAGGUGUAGCGGUGAAAUGCGUAGAGAUCUGGAGGAAUACCGAUGGCGAAGGCAGCCAUCUGGCCUAAUACUGACACUGAGGUGCGAAAGCAUGGGGAGCAAACAGGAUUAGAAACCCGAGUAGUCC